UACGUAGGGUCCGAGCGUUGUCCGGAAUUAUUGGGCGUAAAGGGCUCGUAGGCGGUUCGUCACGUCGGGCGUGAAAACUCGGAGCUUAACUCCGAGCCUGCUUCCGAUACGGGCAGACUAGAGGUAGGCAGGGGAGAGCGGAACUCCUGGUGUAGCGGUGGAAUGCGCAGAUAUCAGGAAGAACACCCGUGGCGAAAGCGGCUCUCUGGAACGGUACUGACGCUGAGACGCGAAAGCGUGGGGAGCGAACAGG
rnacentral:rRNA from 1 species